AUACCGGCCAGAGACCGAUAGCGCACAAGUAGAGUGAUCGAAAGAAGAAAAGCACUUUGAAAAGAGGGUUAAAUAGUACGUGAAAUUGUUGAAAGGGAAGGGUUUAUGACCAGACCUUUGCGUUAGGAAUCAUCCGGUGUUUUCACCGGUGCACUUCCCUUCGUUGAGGCCAGCAUCAGUUUUGGUUGGGGGAUAAAGACUUUAGGAAUGUGAUUCCCCCGGGAAUGUUAUAGCCUUUUGUGUAAUACCCUGACCGGGACUGAGGACCGCGCUUCGGCUAGGAUGCUGGCAUAAUGGUCAUCAGCCACCCGUCUUGAAACACGGACC
rnacentral:rRNA from 1 species